GCAUAUCAAUAAGCGGAGGAAAAGAAMCYAACAAGGAUUCCCCUAGUAACGGCGAGUGAAGCGGGAAGAGCUCAAAUUUGAAAUCUUAAAGGGUUUCCCUUUACGAAUUGUAGUUUAAAGAAGUGUUUUCUGUUGAGGUUUUGGUAAAAGUUCUUUGGAAUAGGACAUCAUAGAGGGUGAGAAUCCCGUAUUUGACCUUUACUUUCAACUUUGUGAUACACUUUCAAAGAGUCGGAUUGUUUGGGAAUGCAGUCCAAAAUGGGUGGUAAAUUUCAUCUAAAGCUAAAUAUUGGCGAGAGACCGAUAGCGAACAAGUACCGUGAGGGAAAGAUGAAAAGAACUUUGAAAAGAGAGUUAAACAGUACGUGAAAUUGUCAAAAGGGAAGCGUUUGACACCAGUGUUGUUUUUCUGAAAAUCAAUUAAAGAACUGUUUAUGCUAAGUUGUUUAGACUUUAUCAGCUAACUGUUUAGUUUUGAGCUUUUCUUUAAUGCACUUUUCAGUUAACAAGUCAACAUCAAUUUCUUUUGCUGUAAAAAAGCUUGAGGAAGGUGGCUUGAGAUUCGCCUUAAGUGUUUAUAGCCUCUUGCCUAUGCAGUCGGAGAGAUUGAGGUCUGCAGCGUAGAUCCUUCGGGGCUAAAUGCAUUUGUGCUAAGUUAUAGCAUUUUAUAGACAACUUGUUGACUAUGAUUUGUCUUGUAGCUUACUCGCUUAUGUUAUUUUACCUACGCUUAGGAUGUUGACAAAAUGGUUUUAAACGACCCGUCUUGAAACACGGACC
rnacentral:rRNA from 1 species